UACGUAGGGGGCAAGCGUUGUCCGGAUUUAUUGGGCGUAAAGAGCGUGUAGGCGGCCAGACAGGUCCGUUGUGAAAACUCGAGGCUCAACCUCGAGACGCCGAUGGAAACCGUCUGGCUAGAGUCCGGAAGAGGAGAGUGGAAGUUCCCGGUGAUGAGCGGUGAAAUGCGCAGAUAUCGGGAGGAACACCGGUGGCGAAGGCGGUUCUCUGGGCCUUACCUGACGCUGAGGAGCGAAAGCGUGGGGAGCGAACAGG
rnacentral:rRNA from 1 species